rnacentral:tRNA from 1 species
AGAAAUUAGUUAAUUUAUAAUAUUGACUUGUCAUGUCAAAGUAAUCUCUAAAGAUAUUUCUU